AUUGAACGCUGGCGGCAGGCCUAACACAUGCAAGUCUAGCGAGCGGCGGACGGGUGAGUAAUGUAUGGGGAUCUGCCCGACAGAGGGGGAUAACUACUGGAAACGGUGGCUAAUACUGCAUACUAUCGGAUGAACCCAUAUGGUAUUAGCUAGUAGGUGGGGUAAAGGCUCACCUAGGCGACGACCUCUAGCUGGUCUGAGAGGAUGAUCAGCCACACUGGGACUGAGACACGGCCCAGACUCCUACGGGAGGCAGCAGGUGGUAAUAUUGCAAAAUGGGCGCAAGCCUGAUGCAGCCAUGCCGCGUGUGUGAAGAAGGCCUUCGGGUUGUAAAGCACUUUCAGCGAGGAGGCGUUACUCGCAGAAGAAGCACCGGCUAACUCCGUGCCAGCAGCCGCGGUAAUUC
rnacentral:rRNA from 1 species